UACCAGCUCUCCGAGUAGUGUGGAUGUUUAUUGGGCCUAAAGCAUCCGUAGCUUGCUAAAUAAGUCCCCUGUUAAAUCCACCGAUUCAAUCGUUGGAUUGCGGAGGAUACUGUUUGGCUAGGGGACGGGAGAGGCCGACGGUAUUUCUGGGGUAGGGGUGAAAUCCUAUAAUCCCAGGAAGACCACCAGUGGCGAAGGCUGUCGGCUAGAACGCGCCCGACGGUGAGGGAUGAAAGCUGGGGGAGCGAACCGGAUUAGAUACCCGGGUAGUCCCGGCUGUAAACGAUGCAGGCUAGGUGUUUGGGCGGCUACGAGCCGCUCUAGUGCCGCAGGGAAGCUGUUAAGCCUGCCGCCUGGGGAGUACGGCCGCAAGGCUGAAACUUAAGGAAUUGGCGGGGAGCACCACAAGGGGUGAAGCUUGCGGUUU
rnacentral:rRNA from 1 species